rnacentral:lncRNA from 1 species
AAGCCAUUCUGAUGGUGAGACAGUGAGAACACUCUGUGUCCUUGUAAAUAUCUCUCUCUUCUCAUUUGUGUUGCAACUGUGUGUUGACUUGGUUGUUUUCAAGACUUCGGCGAGAUUCACAUUGCCGUUUUCUUUCUUUUUUUCAAAGCAUAUACAUGAGUUCCAUUUCAAUUUAUUUUUAUUUGAACUUGCAAUUUUUUAACACCAACAGGAAAAAUCAAGGACAGAUCAGAGCCUUAUUCAAGUAUCCGUAAUAUUAUCUAAGUUUUUCUUCAUCAUAAACAUGUUUAUCAACAAAAAUGUG